rnacentral:tRNA from 1 species
UAGCUCAUUGGUAGAGUGCUUGCCUCAUAUGCAUGAGGUCCUGGAUUCAAUUCCCAG